CCAAAUGCUGGGUCAAGCCUUUUGGGUAAUUUUUGAAGGUUAUUUUUUCAGUGUUUGGGUAGUUUUUUUGUUACCCAGCUCCUGGGUCAAAUGUAACAACCCAGUGUUUGGGUAGUUUUUGUAUUACUCAGAUCCUGGGUCAGACUUAACCCAGUGGUUGAGUUAUUUAUCGCGGGGAUUUGCUUCUCUUCUGGAGAGAGCAGUUCUUAGCGCCAUCGAAUUGACGCAUUAGUCGGUAAAAUACAGGUUAUAAAGGCAAUCGCAGUAUAUUUCGACUAUGAGUGAAACGCAGGGGGGCGGUCUCAGCCGUGAGCAGUUCCCCGCCGAACACGACUCCAGCUCGGGCUCGAGAACCAGCGCGACGCAGCUCAGUUACGGUGGAAACAACAACAGAGACUGGUUAAUAACUCGUAAAUUACUUCUGUUUAACAUUUAAUUUUUCGUUUUAUUGUUUGUUAAAUGAGUUAAAUUGUGGUCAAUAUGUAUAGCCUAUUAAAAACGAUAUAAACAAUGCUGUAAAUGAUAAAGGAAAAUAAAGGAAGUUAACAUGCAAA